UACAGAGGAGCCAAGCGUUGUCCGGAUUGACUGGGCGUAAAGCGCACGCAGGCGGACGCGCGCGUGGGGUGUGAAAUCUGGCCGCUUAACGGCCAGGCGCCAUCCCAUACGGCGCGUCUGGAGCAAUGCAGAGGUCGGUGGAAUUGCCGGUGUAGUGGUGAAAUGCGUAGAGAUCGGCAGGAACACCCAGGGGGAAACCA
rnacentral:rRNA from 1 species